rnacentral:tRNA from 1 species
GGGCGAUUGGCGCAGUGGUAGCGCGCUUCCCUGACACGGAAGAGGUCACUGGUUCAAACCCAGUAUCGCCCAC